AAGUCGUAACAAGGUUUCCGUAGGUGAACCUGCGGAAGGAUCAUUACCACGUAUAAACGUAACACAAACAGAGAUCAAUAUAUAUUUCACCAAUGAUUCAUCAUGAAUCAAUGGACAACACAGCAGCAGGAAAUCAUGGUGUAAUGCUUUGAUUUGUUGUUGUUGAGUUGUAUUUAUCACUUUAUUUCCCCCCCUGUUCCUCUCUAGUUGUUGUUCAGAAAUGUUUUAACGUUUCUGAGUAUUGUUUAUUCAAUCAAUCACAACUCUUAGCAAUGGAUAUCUUGGUUCUC
rnacentral:misc_RNA from 1 species